UGCAGUCUGCCUGCUCUAAAGUCUUGGAGCAGGCAUCAAAGCCACCUGGUUUUGAUGAUGAAGUCUUGGCACCAGUCCCUGUUGGCAGGAUUAGAGAGUGUCACAUGCUGGAAAAAAGGCUUCACCUUCUGCAUGAACACGAUAAGUAUUUUUGCAAUGCGGAAAAGUUACAAGACGGCUAAAGUGAUUAUUGAAGGUUAUUUUCUACUCAACUAACGGUCUCUUAAUGUGAAGAGCUGCUCAUCCACAACUGAUCCACUGCAACAUUUCAGUGGGGUGAAACACAAUGCAUCGGGGACACAUAUUGAACUGUGAUGGCCUCUUAACGUUUACUUCAGCGCCAUGGCCACUGGUCUGCAUCCAGACAUGUGACAAUCCAGGAGGGCCCUGUCGGUUACAUGUCUGUUCUCCCACAAGAUGCCAGGUGCCUGAUUCGGAACAAAUGCACACAAACACAGGAACAGAAACGCACACUAGAGGGACUUGGAUUAUUAUGCAUGGGUGUAUUCUGCACUAUUGUCAGGUAUGGAGCUGUGUUGAGGUAGAACGAGCAGCCAUGGGCAUAUCCUGGUUCACAAGCGCUAGUCAGAAAACUGACAAGGCAAAGCUGCUUUUUUAUGCCGCACCUACAAUGGAAAUGGAGCUCAAAGAACAACCUCUCUUUCCCGUAGCCUUUAUCUGCUUCUCUCUGUGUGUGUCUUUCCACUGCUCCCCCUUGUCUAGUUAGAGGGCAUCUAUACCUUCUCUCUCUCUCUCUCUCUCGACAGGAGAAACCUGUACUUUAUCACUGCCACAUAUGGAGAAAGGCAUUUUCUUCCCAAAGGGAAAGCUGACAUGCAAUUACGACAUUCUGGCAGCCCCAAACAUCCUUCACAAAAUAUAUAGCAUCCUGUUUUUUUACUUUUGCAGUUUUAUGAUGUGUUACGUGGCAUCGAUGUAUUGCACGUUGCCAUUUGUAGUUUGUGGAAAAGUGACAAAAAGCAUUUCCUCAUCAAGGAAGUCACAAUUAUCCAGGAUGAGAUGAUUCAAGCUCCUCGGGUUAACAUCCAAACAACCGGCCUCACAGAGAUCAUACAAACACACCUGUGAUUAGUUGGGGGUAAAUUGCAGACAAAUAAAUUGAACGGGUAAAUGCACCAAAUUGCAGAUGACAGCUCAGUGAGAUGUCUGGAAGCAGUUUGUUUGCCUGCCUUCUUGCCCGUCAUACUAGCCGAGCCAGCCGGUGCUCCAUCAGAGACAAAGAGAGAGGUAAAGUGGGACAGAUGUGGAGCUUUACAGAGGCCCCAGUGGGAUAUUGAGAAUGAUGGCAUGGAGGGCAGUGUGGGACAAUAAAGGGAGGAGGACUGCGUUCCUUCUUCCCAACACCUGAAAGAAAGGUGCCCUUUGUCAUACCUGACACUUAUUGCCUCCGCUAAGAAGGUUGUCUUAUUUAGUUGGCCGGAUUGCGUAAAAACUCUUCCAUCACCUUCUCCAAAGUUGGUAUGGGCCUCGAAAGUUAGGGUGCAUUCAUCUUAUGUGAAGUAUAUCCUCAGUAUAUAUGGAAAUACAUGUGUGUUAUAAAUAAACAGUGGACAUGUUACUGCCCUUAUAAUGCCAUGUGCCUUUUGCGUUGGAAUGAACACUUACUCAAUCCACCCAAGGAUUGGGUAAAAAAUGGCAACAAACUUGGAGAAAGUGGAUGAGCCAUUAGAAAUGCAAAGACAUCUC